rnacentral:lncRNA from 1 species
GGUUAGAAGACAUUAUGGUCAGAGAACAACCUGUUGAAAAACAGUGCUAGAGCCCAGCACAGCCCAGGAACUGCAAGUUACUUAUUGUGGAAAGGGCUCAGGGCGUUUGGGUGUGGGUGUGGGUGUGGGUGUGUGGCGGGAGUGGUGAUAAGUGAGAGGGUUAGUCACUGACGCUCUGUGUGACCUUUCAUGGAACAGAUCUCGUCUCUUUCCUUGGUAUCCCCAUCAGUAAAAUUCAAUUUUUCUCUGAACUCUUUCUGCACUGGGCCUUCCAGGAGGUUAUGAGAAAGAAUCCGACACUGCCCUUGCCUUUAGGCUGCUCAGGGUCUGAGAGCGGGAGGUGAUCUGUUGCUCAUCCAUGGCCCAAGGCAGAGGCUCUGAGACCAGCCUGCACAGAAUCAGCGGGAGGGCUUGUGAAAACGCAGAUUGCCGGGCCCCCUCUCGGCCCUCCGCGGAGCGUCUGAUUGCGUGAGUCUGGAGUAAGUCCCAGAAAGUGCAUCUUUAACUAGUUCCAGGUGAUGCCAAUGCUGCUGGUCUGGGACCACCCUCUGAGCAUGACCCGCCAGGAAGAACAAAGAGGACUCAGAGCUGGGGAGGUUAAGAGGAGACCUCACACUGAGCAAGGCCCUGAAGACCUGUGUCACUAAGUAAGGAAGCCUGGACCAGCCUGCUGGAACAUGAGAUCGUGUAGAACACACAAGAGCUCUCCACUGAGGGUCCCUACACCAACCAGCUCCCAGUGGAGCUACCAGAUGACUGCAACAACAGAGUGACCCCAGGUGAGAUCACAGAAGAACCACCAGCCAAGCCCAGCCCAAAGUGCCAGUCCACAGAGUCAAAUGAAUGGUUAUUGUUUUAUGCCAUCUGUUUUGAAGUAGUUUGUUACACAGCAAUAGCUUACUGAUACAGUUCUUUUCACAUAUUUUACUUCA